rnacentral:rRNA from 1 species
AGUGAACGCUGGCGGUAGGCCUAACACAUGCAAGUCGAACGGCAGCACAGGAGAGCUUGCUCUCUGGGUGGCGAGUGGCGGACGGGUGAGGAAUACAUCGGAAUCUACUUUUUCGUGGGGGAUAACGUAGGGAAACUUACGCUAAUACCGCAUGCGACCUACGGGUGAAAGCAGGGGACCUUCGGGCCUUGCGCGAUUGAAUGAGCCGAUGUCGGAUUAGCUAGUUGGCGGGGUAAAGGCCCACCAAGGCGACGAUCCGUAGCUGGUCUGAGAGGAGGAUCAGCCACACUGGAACUGAGACACGGUCCAGACUCUUACGGGAGGCAGCAGUGGGGAAUAUUGGACAAUGGGCGCAAGCCUGAUCCAGCCAUACCGCGUGGGUGAAGAAGGCCUUCGGGUUGUAAAGCCCUUUUGUUGGGAAAGAAAUCCAGCUGGCUAAUACCCGGUUGGGAUGACGGUACCCAAAGAAUAAGCACCGGCUAACUUCGUGCCAGCCGCCGCAGUAA